GACGAACGCUGGCGGCGUGCUUAACACAUGCAAGUCGAACGAAGAGCGAUGGAAGCUUGCUUCUAUCAAUCUUAGUGGCGAACGGGUGAGUAACGCGUAAUCAACCUGCGCUUCAGAGGGGGACAACAGUUGGAAACGACUGCUAAUACCGCAUACGAUCUAAUCUCGGCAUCGAGGAUAGAUGAAAGGUGGCCUCUACAUGUAAGCUAUCACUGAAGGAGGGGAUUGCGUCUGAUUAGCUAGCUGGAGGGGUAACGGCCCAACAAGGCGAUGAUCAGUAGCCGGUCUGAGAGGAUGAACGGCCACAUUGGGACUGAGACACGGCCCAGACUCCUACGGGAGGCAGCAGUGGGGAAUCUUCCGCAAUGGACGAAAGUCUGACGGAGCAACGCCGCGUGAGUGAUGACGGCCUUCGGGUUGUAAAGCUCUGUUAAUCGGGACGAAAGGCCUUCUUGCGAAUAGUGAGAAGGAUUGACGGUACCGGAAUAGAAAGCCACGGCUAACUACGUG
rnacentral:rRNA from 1 species